rnacentral:rRNA from 1 species
UACGUAGGGUGCGAGCGUUGUCCGGAAUUAUUGGGCGUAAAGAGCUCGUAGGCGGUGUGUCACGUCGUUCGUGAAAACCUGCAGCUUAACUGUGGGCGUGCGGUCGAUACGGGCAUCACUGGAGUUCGGCAGGGGAGACUGGAAUUCCUGGUGUAGCGGUGAAAUGCGCAGAUAUCAGGAGGAACACCGGUGGCGAAGGCGGAUCUCUGGGCCUUACCUGACGCUGAGGCGCGAAAGCUAGGGGAGCGAACAGG